AUGAACGCUGGCGGCGUGCCUAAUACAUGCAAGUCGAGCGAACAGAUAAGGAGCUUGCUCCUUUGACGUUAGCGGCGGACGGGUGAGUAACACGUGGGUAACCUACCUAUAAGACUGGAAUAACUCCGGGAAACCGGGGCUAAUGCCGGAUAACAUUUAGAACCGCAUGGUUCUAAAGUGAAAGAUGGUUUUGCUAUCACUUAUAGAUGGACCCGCGCCGUAUUAGCUAGUUGGUAAGGUAACGGCUUACCAAGGCAACGAUACGUAGCCGACCUGAGAGGGUGAUCGGCCACACUGGAACUGAGACACGGUCCAGACUCCUACGGGAGGCAGCAGUAGGGAAUCUGCCGCAAUGGGCGAAAGCCUGACGAAGCAACGCCGCGUGAGUGAUGAAGGUCUUCGGAUCGUAAAACUCUGUUAUUAGGGAAGAACAAAUGUGUAAGUAACUGUGCACGUCUUGACGGUACCUAAUCAGAAAGCCACGGCUAACUACGUG
rnacentral:rRNA from 1 species